CCCUUAGAUGUUCUGGGCCGCACGCGCGCUACAAUGGUCUUCGCAAACGGAUGCAUUCUCGAAGGAGAAUGCCAAUCUUGGAAUCUAUGCCUUGGUCGGGACAGUUGCUUGCAAUUUUUCGACUCGAACCAGGAAUUCCUUGUAAUCGUGAUUCAUCACAUCACGAUGAAUACGUCCCUGCCCUUUGUACACACCGCCCGUCGCUCCUACCGAUCGAAGAGUUAGGUGAAUUGUUUUGAUCGAUAAGAUUUGACUAUGGUCAACUCUCGUUGUGAAAUUUUGUGAAUCUGACUGUUUAGAGGAAGGAAAAGUCGUAACA
rnacentral:rRNA from 1 species